AUGGCCUUACUGAAGAGCUCAGUGACUUUCAACAUGGCACCGUCAUAGGAUGCCACCUUUCAAACAAGUCACUUCAUCAAAUAUCUGCCCUACUAGAGCAUCCCAGGUCAACUGUAAGUGCUGUUAUUGUGACGGGAAAUGUUUAGGAGCAACAACAGCUCAGCCACAAAGUGUGGUAGGCCACACAAGUUCACAACACGGGUUCGCCGAGUGCUGAAGCACCUAUAGCUCGUAAAAAUGGUCUGUCUUCAGUUGCAACACUCACUACCAAGUUCCAAACUCCUUUUGGAUUUUAAAAGUAUUUUUUUAUUUAGUUAAGUUAGUGUUUUACAUUUUACAUUCUUUAUUUAUGUUAUCUAUUUAUUUAUUUUACCCCCGGAAGUUAUCGUCCAACUCGUUUUUUUCCCGGAUGAAUCCAACAUGGCUGCGUCCUUGUGAUUUACGAUACAUAUACAGUCAAGCUCCAAAACAAAUGAAAACAUGCACGUAAAAGAAGUAAUAAAGUGGAAUGUACGGGUGUCUAUGCUGUAUGCUUUCGGAAUAUGGACAAUGCUCGGCACAUACGGUUAUUAUCAGUACAUGGGGCGCAAUGAAGAAAAGUCCGUCAAAGAGAAGGAGGAGCAACCUCCAAAUCCUAGAGAAUUGACUAUCCAGAGUGCACACAUGAAAACCACCAUCGUCUACAAGGAAAACUUUGUUCCUUAUUCUACAAGGGUCUACAAUUUUGUCAGCUCGCUCAGUCGGGACUCUGCAUCGGCAUCGGCUGACAGCCAAGACAAUACAAAGUAGUGGUGAAAAAGUGAAAGCUAUAAUGAACUGAUGCCAUUGCCUGCCUAGGCUUCCACAUUUGUGAUGUGUGUAGCAAAAAUACUUAGGAAUUAACACUGUAAAAUGUACAUUGAAUAUAUCUCUGUGUAAAAUACACUGGCUGAAAUUAUUUGUCACUUGUACAAUGAAUUGAAAUACCACAGUAUCCCUCUGUUCGAGAACCCCUCUGCUAACCUAGAAACAUUCUCUACCUAGACUGUACACGGUCUCAAUGCAAAGUGUAGACAACAUCUGUCUGUUGAACUUCUAGAUAUGGCAGUGAUAACCUGUCCUGUGCAUUGCUGCUGUAUUACAUUCAGUCCAAUCAGAUUUUUGCAAACAUCUGAAGUAGGAGCAUACCUUUUAUACAACUAGCAGAGUGUCUGACAGCUGGCCUAUGCAUGCAUUUCAGCACUUCAAGAUAAAUCAAUGAAACUUCUGUCAAAUAAACUUAAUUUGUAAAUGAA